GCAAUGCACCCAACACAAUGUUUCAACACAUGGCCUUUUUUGGGUGAAAUUCUACCUAUGAUGCAAGUUCAAAGUACCUUGUGAUAUUUCAAAACAUCACUUGGUACUUCACCAAAUCAUCCACCUUAUAAUGUGGGUGAUUUUGAAAUCAAAAUAUCAAAUGAGGGGCAGGUCAAAUAUGAAUAACCUUGUUGCUUGCCUCAGCUCUCCUGGAAAU
rnacentral:lncRNA from 1 species